GUGGGGAAUUUUGGACAAUGGGCGCAAGCCUGAUCCAGCAAUGCCGCGUGUGUGAAGAAGGCCUUCGGGUUGUAAAGCACUUUUGGCAGGAAAGAAAUAGUGCGUGCUAAUACCAUGCGCGAAUGACGGUACCUGCAGAAUAAGCACCGGCUAACUACGUGCCAGCAGCCGCGGUAAGACGUAGGGUGCAAGCGUUAAUCGGAAUUACUGGGCGUAAAGCGUGCGCAGGCGGUUUUGUAAGACAGGUGUGAAAUCCCCGGGCUCAACCUGGGAACUGCACUUGUGACUGCAAGGCUAGAGUGUGUCAGAGGGAGGUGGAAUUCCGCGUGUAGCAGUGAAAUGCGUAGAGAUGCGGAGGAACACCGAUGGCGAAGGCAGCCUCCUGGGAUAACACUGACGCUCAGGCACGAAAGCGUGGGGAGCAAACAGGAUUAGAAACCCGGUAGUCC
rnacentral:rRNA from 1 species